GUUUUAUUUAUUUACACAUGUGUUGUUUCAUUGUUUCUCACUAUCACAGUAACUUCUGAAGAUCCUGCUAUAGUUAGGAUCCUGUUAUCUGAACUCGUUGCUACUUUCUUGAUUUUUCCUAGAGUUUUACUGAAGACUGGGCAGUAUAGCCCAUUCCAAGGAUGAGCAUUAUUGGGAGGCUAUGAAAAAAUUCAGCAAGAGAAGGGUAACAAUCUUCAAAUGAUGCAUCUUUAACCUCUUUGUGUUCUUCUUUUUAGUCAAUACUUCACUGCUUAGUGCCAAUCCAUGGAAAUCACUUUCGUGCUGGCACUGCCCAGAGAGUGAUAGAUUUCAUUCAGGUGCCUGGGCCAACAGAGGGUCCAGUAAGGCAGGACAGAAACUGCUUUACUCGGAGUGUUCAUUCUGGGGUCUGAUGGAAUAUUAAUGCUGAGAGGAGGCUGAGAAACGUAGACUGUGGAGGAAAAUGGGAGGAAACCUCUUCACACUGAGAAGGGGAGAUGGUGAAACCAAGUCAGCUGGAAAUGGAGAGGGGGCCUUUUGAUGUUUUCCUGUUUUCUACAGGAAGGGAAAUCAAUAGAUGCCUUUAAAUGCUCCUCUGGGUGAAGAAUGGAUACUUAUCUCAUUUCUCCCUCUCACUACUCUUCCAUCACUUUCCCAGACACCAUGUUACUAGUUUAGGGUCCUGGGAGGAGCAGAGGAAGAUGGAAAUGCCACACACAUCUGGACUACAACCCCCUGCUGCUUUGCAAUGAAGACAAUUUUCUAAUUGGAAUCAACAGACACCCAGUGUCUGCAGUCUCUGUUGGAAAUAGCAGACAUGAAACUGCUAAAAGCCCCAAAGUCCAGUUCUGGCCAUCCUGCUGGUGUGUUUUGCUCUUCUCAGGUGGUAUUGUCCAGAUAACUCAGGUCCUGGCAUCUCUGUUCACCUGUUACAAUGGCAAUUACAAUGAGGAAAAGCUAGAUUUGCCUCCAGUUCUGCAAAGCCCAUUCUAAGGUUUCAGAACAGCUCUCAGGAUAUGGAUGGAAACCGAAGCCCAGGGACAUUUUGUGACUUGUCCAAGGUCACCCACUAGAUGGAUGGCAAAGCCAAGACAUGAUAAUCCAAGGGGAAGGGACUCAUUUCUUUCUGGGAUACUAGGACUCAGAAAACGGAUCAAUCGCACCAAGUCAAGUACAGAUGUCCUGCUUGAGUCACACAGCAUGGGAUUGCCAGAGUAGGGAAGGAGAGCAGGAGAGGGGCCUGGGAGUUGCUUUGCUGCCAGUCAGCUGACUGACUGCAAAGAGUCAAUAAAAGUUAUCUUCAGGAUUGAAAAAGUAAGGUGAAGGGGAAGUGGAGCAAUAAAACCCACUAGGAAAACCACUUCCUGUCUUGGAGCACGUGGUUACUGAAUGGUGUCCUGGGGAAUUGGGGAUAUUCCAAGAAUCAGCUUUUAAGGGCCAAAUAGCUUUUCCAUGUUCUAAAAGCUGCUAGAGCUCCCCUUCAUGAAGAAGGGCCCAGGUGCUCAUCUAUUAUUAAGCAUGUUUAAAAAGGCAUUUAAGAGAAAGCACCAGG
rnacentral:lncRNA from 10 species